AUCGUGUUUUUUUUAAAGUAUUCCAGCCAAUGAGGGAAUAGUUCACAAGCAUCUUAGCCAAAGCAACGAGGAUUACAGCCAAUGAGAGAAGGCGAUACUGCUUCUAAAAAUGCGUUUGGUGGAGGUCUCUGAUUGGUCUAGAGAAGUCCCAGAAAAUCUUUUGGUAUACCAUACCACUUCUGCAGAAGCCAUUGUUGUCUACACUUUAAAGCAUUCUUGGAUAUUGGUGAAAAAUUAUUCUUGGUUCAGAGCUUCUGAUCAACCAGUUCCAUUGCUGAUGCCAAGGCAGGAUUAUCUACAGUCAUUAAUGUACUACUCGACAUAGCUGCCUGUUACGUGGUGAUCUGUGACAUGAAAUGGAGUUACAAGGAUUAGGAAGUCUCCAAGACUUGUUAGUCCAUCCGAGGAUACAUAGUGUAUUGACAAGAGGUAGUCUAAUAGUUUUGCUAUGAAAUAUUAAAAUUUUACUUCCUUCUCGAAUAGUCAGGAUCGCCAUGCAAAUGAGGGUCGUUUUCAAUGCUAGGGAGAAUAUACGUUUUAGUGAUAUACUAUUAAGUUGAGGAGUGUUGGAAGUCUUUGCCCUAUUAUGAUGUACGCCGAGAGGGUUUCAUCCUUCUAAUAAGGAGGAGCUAUCAUCCUUUUGAUCAAGGGUAUAGAAGAAAACCUUCGUCGUAGAGAACUCAGCCUACAGGACGUCGUGGAUACAUUAGUUACGGGGUAUUUGAGGAAUAAGGGUGACCAUUAACGGUCUAGACGCAACCCCUUCGUCUUUUAGAAAAUUCAGCCUACAGGCCUUCGUGGAAACAUCAGUUACGGAGUAACUGAGGAAGAAUAGAUGACCAUUAAAGGAAGUCAGCAUACCACCAAAUGAUAGCGUCGAUGUUGGUGUACAAGUGGGCACUCCUUCACGUGGCAAAUUGAUUAAAGUGUGAAAACACCCAAUGACCGUGUGAGCAGUGACUAGAUUUUUCAGUAUUGUCAGGAAAUAUUUAUGUAAAGUAUGUUGUAUUUGUUUAUUGCAGUUUUUAUUUAAAACGUAGCCUCAGGUAGAAAGACAUGUUACAUGUCCUAUAUAAAACUUGGUCACAAGACAUGUUAUAUGUCCUAUAUAAAACUUUGUCACAAAAGA